rnacentral:rRNA from 1 species
GAUCAUGGCUCAGGAUGAACGCUAGCGGGAGGCCUAACACAUGCAAGCCGAGCGGUAUUGUUUCUUCGGAAAUGAGAGACCGGCGCACGGGUGAGUAACGCGUAUGCAACCUACCUAUAACUGGAGAAUAGCCCUCUGAAAAAGGGGGAUUAAUGUUCCAUAAUGUUCAGAAUCCGCAUGGUUUUUGGACUAAAGCUCCGGCGGUUAUAGAUGGGCAUGCGUGACAUUAGCUAGUUGGUGAGGUAACUGCUCACCAAGGCUACGAUGUCUAGGGGGUCUUAAAGGAUGAUCCCCCACACUGGUACUGAGACACGGACCAGACUCCUACGGGAGGCAGCAGUGAGGAAUAUUGGUCAAUGGGCGCAAGCCUGAACCAGCCAAGCCGCGUGAAGGAUGACGGCCCUAUGGGUUGUAAACUUCUUUUAUACGGGAAGAACCCCCCGACGUGUCGGGGACUGACGGUACCGUACGAAUAAGCAUCGGCUAACUCCGUG